rnacentral:rRNA from 1 species
CCUACGGGAGGCAGCAGUGGGGAAUUUUGCGCAAUGGGGGAAACCCUGACGCAGCAACGCCGCGUGAGUGAUGAAGGCUUUCGGGUCGUAAAGCUCUGUCGGAGGGGAAGAAAUGGAAACGGUUAAUACCCGUUUUCCUUGACGGUACCCUCAAAGGAAGCACCGGCUAACUCCGUGCCAGCAGCCGCGGUAAUACGGAGGGUGCAAGCGUUGUUCGGAUUUAUUGGGCGUAAAGCGCGUGUAGGCGGUUUCUUGAGUCUGAUGUGAAAGCCCUGGGCUCAACCCAGGAAGUGCAUUGGAUACUGGGAGACUUGAAUACGGGAGAGGGUAGUGGAAUUCCUAGUGUAGGAGUGAAAUCCGUAGAUAUUAGGAGGAACACCGGUGGCGAAGGCGGCUACCUGGACCGAUAUUGACGCUGAGACGCGAAAGCGUGGGGAGCAAACAGGAUUAGAUACCCUGGUAGUCCACGCCGUAAACGAUGAGAACUAGGUGUUGCGGGUAUUGACCCCUGCAGUGCCGCAGCUAACGCAUUAAGUUCUCCGCCUGGGAAGUACGGUCGCAAGACUAAAACUCAAAGGAAUUGACGG